AAGGCAGAUCCGAAAAGCCUAUAACAGAGUAAGAA
ncrna:unclassified sequences DTF805b RNA